GUGACCCCAGGACGGGCGAGGCCACCCGCCGAGUUUAAGCAUAUCAAUAAGCGGAGGAGAAG
rnacentral:rRNA from 4 species